rnacentral:rRNA from 1 species
GCUCAGAAACUACAAAGAAGUUGACGGGGCCCGCACAAGCGGAGGAGCAUGUGGUUUAAUUCGAUGAUACGCGAGGAACCUUACCUGGGCUCGAACGUAAGAUGACUGUAGGUGAAAGCUUACAUCUCUUCGGAGCAUUUUUACGAGGUGCUGCAUGGUUGUCGUCAGCUCGUGCCGUGAGGUGUCGGGUUAAGUCCCAUAACGAGCGCAACCCUACCUUUAGUUGCCAUCAGGUAAUGCUGGGGACUCUAAAGGAACUGCCUACGCAAGUAGUGAGGAAGGCGGGGAUGACGUCAAAUCAGCACGGCCCUUACGUCCAGGGCUACACACGUGCUACAAUGGCCGAUACAGAGGGCAGCUACCUGGUGACAGGAUGCAAAUCUCCAAAGUCGGUCUCAGUUCGGAUCGGAGUCUGCAACCCGACUCCGUGAAGUUGGAUUCGCUAGUAAUCGCGCAUCAGCCAUGGCGCGGUGAAUACGUUCCCGGGCCUU